AGGGAAGGAGGCCAAUGCUACAGGGUUAUCUCCUAACCUCAGAUGUUGGAUAAGUCCACAGAAACAGCAGCGCCUCUGGAUGGCUUCAGAAGGCUGGAGUGAUUGUUUGGACGAGAAAAACCCGCCUAUUCAUUCAAAGGUAAACAGCUCAUUUCAUUGUC
rnacentral:lncRNA from 1 species